rnacentral:lncRNA from 1 species
GCGGGUCUCCUCUCAGUCAGGCUCCGAGCACCCUCCCACGCGCAGCUCUAUCGGCUCACGAUAACAUCUAAGUGCAGCUGCAGUGUGGACGGACUACGCGAAACGACCAGGGCGUGAAGUGAUCAGCUGUUAGCGAAGCCUGCCAGCUGUUGCCAACUCACCACGCGGCGCACUCUCUCAUCACCGACUCGUGCUGCCGGUGCGGGCGCUACUUGUGGACAUCGGCAGAACCAAAGGCACAGAAUAAACUAUAGUCGCUGUCUCUCAAGGUACGGAAAAAUCGAGAAGGCGAGUUUGUUCCGUACGCUAUAAUACUAGUCAAAUUUUUUAAAUCAACAUUCCAAAUAAUUCCUUAAAGCAUUCUCCACGCAAGGAAAAAAUUCAUUUUACCCAUAUCGACACAGUCAUCUUCAUAAUUAACAGUUAAGCUUCACCAAAUUUUACCCUUUCAGCGUUCGACGUGCGUCGCAGCCGUCUCGGAGGGAGUUUAUCAUGUGCUUUGGUUAAUAGAGCUCACACGUCAUGAAAGAUAUCAUGGUGGUGGCGGCAUUGUGUCGGUAGCCUCGUCUGCCGCCGGUAGGUACCUACACGGAGACAGCACGCGGUCGCGGCGGACGCGGCCGUCGGCUCCCGGACAUGUGGGGUGUCGCGGCUGUCGAGCAGUAAGUGCGACGUGAGCUGGUCCCUGCAGAGGCCCGGCUGGUGGCUGGCGGCUGUUGUUAGGCGAAGUUGGUUUGUGACCGUCACUAACGGGCAGUGUUAAUACGGUUGCUCGUUUUGGCGAUCGCAAAAUGAACUCGCUUGACUAUAAUCUACGAUCUGUCUCCCCGCCCCCCGCCUCCCGCCGCGCCCGCUCCCCCGCUCGUGAGCCGCGGACCAUGACAUAGAGAAGGUGGAAGGUGCGAGCGCGACUGGCGACUGGAAGAAAUGGACGCUACUGGUCGAGUACCGUCGGAUCGGCACAGCUCGAAGAACUCAUUGUCAAGCGUGCAACAGUCGUUUAAGCUAUAACACAAUGUAAUAGACAUAUAAGUUACGGUAAAAGUAGAUAUUGCGGCAAAUGUACACAUUUUCCGGUAAAUGUGCACAUUUGCC